rnacentral:tRNA from 1 species
CUGGGUGUGGCGCAAACUGGUAGCGCAUCGGCUUUGGGAGCCGAGAGUUGGAGGUUCAAAUCCUCUCGCCCAGA